rnacentral:rRNA from 1 species
UACGUAGGUGGCAAGCGUUGUCCGGAAUUAUUGGACGUAAAGCGCGCGCAGGCGGUCCUUUAAGUCUGAUGUGAAAGCCCACGGCUCAACCGUGGAGGGUCAUUGGAAACUGGGGGACUUGAGUGCAGAAGAGGAAAGCGGAAUUCCACGUGUAGCGGUGAAAUGCGUAGAGAUGUGGAGGAACACCAGUGGCGAAGGCGGCUUUCUGGUCUGUAACUGACGCUGAGGCGCGAAAGCGUGGGGAGCAAACAGG